CAGGAAGGUUGCAGGGGGCGGACGAGGAGAUGGACAUGCAGAGGGGGACGGACAGGGGGACGGACAGGAUUGACAUACUUAAAGACGGAGAGAGUGACGAGGCUCAGAGGAGAACACACACACACACACACACACCAUGUGGCCAGGCUUUUCAUGGCUGCUCCAGUGGGGGGGGGGGGGGGGGGGGGGGGGCGGGGAGGGGAACGGCCCCUCAGCAGAUGGAAUAUUCAUCACGCCUGGCGUUGGAUCCGCCUCGCAGCCCACUGGCAGCCAGACGGCCCGGGACGGAUCUGGGCUGCACAACAAUCACACAACACGCACAACGAGUGAAUUGGGACGCCCCUCUUGUGCCCACGACGGUUAUGAAGGCCUCGAUGCCAACCCGUCAGUCGCCAGCAGCGCCGCGGGGCCCCCCGCCGCCCCCCAGCCAGGGACAAGACGAGACGAGCCACUGAUGACUACAAGACGUGGCUGCCGGGUCCACGCUUCAGGCCCGUCGAGGGGGGUGGGCGGAGCUUUGUCGUUUUUACCGACCGCCGCGGCCCAUCCGAGCCCCCGUGGGCGUCGCCGCCGGCCGCUACGGUCGCCUGUCAGCCCGCUGCGAGUGUUCAUUUGUGCAGGCUCGAGGCGGGAAAAAGAUGUCAACUUGUCUGGUAACAGAACAACAAAAGUGACCCACUAAAGUCAACAGACGCACACAAAACACCCGGCGAGCCGCUGGAAGUUUCCCCCCCAAGCGGACGCCAUCGGUGCCGCCAGGCGUGAAAUAACGGCUCCGCUACUCAAAAUUGGAAAACUUUUAAAGCCACAAUUCUUAGUAAAGCAGAGAUGAGCAUGUAUAUAAAAAAAGAAACGUCCCCUUUGUGAUGUGAAGGACGUCAGGCGGACGUUUCGUAACCUCGAGGCCAAACUCCCGCUGACGUUUGUUCUUUGGAGCAUUGUUAGUCGGGGAGGAGAUGAGAGCGCUUUCAUUAAAGCGUCCGUCCCCGCCGACUCGCCAGACAUCCAUUAACGCCGUCCUGUAACUCUCCAAGUCCGCCGCCUCCUCCUCUUCUGCACGGAUCCCAUCCCUCUGUCGCCCCGUCGCCCUACUCAAAGGCCUCUGAACGGAGACCCAGCCUUGGUACAGUCUCAGCCGGCGGAAUACAAAAAGGUCGACACGGCCGGCGGGGCAAGUGACCCCAAAAAAAUACUUCCCCAAAAAGAAUGUGCUCUGAGCCGACCCGUUUAACACCCGCAGAACGUCGACCCGGUGACUUCCUGCUCGCCACAGCGUUCAUUUAGUUCAUGUUAACGCUUCGACGUGAACUUUCCCCUUCGCUAAAAGGGGGCUUCAAAUAGCCGCUAAGCUGCCGGAGAGUUAAAGCCGGGAUCCUUUUGUUCGACGAGCAUCGAGCCCUUUUGGAGAUAACUUCCACGGGAUGUUAGGACUUAAGGAUGAAGCAGCGGCGUUCAGCCGAGAGACACAAUUCCCAUGUAAUGAUUUCCUCCUCCUCCGGAAUGCGAUUCAAACAAAAGAGUUUAGUGAUCCGUUUCCCAGUGUUAAGAUAAGACGAGCCGUUUAACCGGGUGGCUAACGGCUCUUGUAACUAGAGCUCAUCUGCAGCCAGACGGCAUCUUGCCGCUGCUGCAGCCCUCCCUCCUCCCUCCUCCCUCCUUAAUUCCUUUCUUCUCAGUCCUCCAGGGCUGCGUGCCGGCGCCGGCGGCCCUGGUCAGCCAAAUCAGACCAAUUUGAGGGGCUCGUUCGGGGCUGUUGGAGGCGCUCAGGUGCUCCGCUGGGGCGCUAAAUCUCCGUUAACGCCGGAGCCUGCUGCUCUCGUCACAUUAAUAUGCCCUAUUCACCCCCCGCCCCGCCCUGCCCCAUUGUUACCGAGGUGAUAGCGUCCGGGGGUCUCUCGUCUUCUCCUUGUUUUCCCCCUCUCCUUCCUCUCUACCACCCACAGAAAUGGAGCACGAUCCGGCCCGAGGAGCGCUGGAUGGCGGGCGCGUUAUCCAUCAUCCUGUCCCUGCUUUUAAUUCAAAGCACACGCCUCCGAGGGGACUUGGCCUGAAUAAGCCACGUUUGCGUUGUGAUGUUGAGGUCGGCCCAUCUACCUAUAGCACGCAUUGAGGGCCCGUGAUUGGCGGAGGUCCGGCUCCUCAAACAUCUGUCCGGGCGCAGAGGACACAGCGAGCAGGACGUGCGACUCCCCGCAGGUUUUUUUUUUUUUUUUUUUACAAUACUGUAAAAUCAAUACACAAGAUGAAAACGAUGAGAACACAAUAUCUGUAAGAGCUCCUCCUGCGGUGCAUCCGUGUGCACAUUGUAUGUGAGCGUGGGCUGGUGUGCAUAAUGCAGCACACGCUGCGUUUAAAUGUGAGGCCCAGCGAGCACACGCAGACGUGUCCACGCGUUUUCAUGAAUAUUUUAUUUGCGUUUUUUUAGCACGUGUGUUCGAGGUAGAAUCCAAGGCUCCCUGUUCUCCCAGGCGGGAUGAUCUGGGGUGAGAGGGGGGGAGCGGGGGGGGUUACAAUGGAGGAGCAGAGGUAUCGGGUACAAGCCAACAAGGCCGCUUCACCACCGACGGGCCGCAAACUGUCACGUUGUGAACUUUCACCUCAAAUGUUCUACUUAAUCUGGUUUUGAACUAUAUUCCCAUUGAGCGCUAGAGCUGCUACGGACUUUGUUUCAGCCUUUGAACUAAUCUAAUAAAGGCUUCACUGCUCAGACGGGAAACACACGACGCCACAUGGAAACACGCGCGUGGACACGUCACAUGUCUACUGAACAUAAGUGACGCGAAACUGUUCUUUUACGUGUGCGGAUUUGCAUCUGCUGCUGCUCCUUCAUUACGCUGGUGCAGGAGGUCCAUUCACCAGCGCUCUGACUAACGCAGUGAAGUGCCGCCGUGACUAAUCCGACCCGGGGGGGUGAACACUCGCCGCUCUUAUCUCCCGCCUUCGGUGCAGACACGAGUACACGCUUUAAGGAUAGUAAUCUGUUCCUUUUCUGACAUCCUGAUUUAGGAUAAAGGAAGGUUGAGGAAUUGGGCUCUGCCGUCCUCAGGCAUUUUAUUUCCGACCUGAUCUGCAGGCUUUUAUUGGCUCCCAUGUAUAGAAAAACCACUCAUCUUCUCACAGCUCUGCGUGGACAGCUGUGAUUGUCACGCUGGGAGAAAAACUAAAAAGAACUGUCAGUUUUCUUUGAAAUGGGGAUUUACUUUUCAAUUACAGCUGAUGGCCACCAGCAAUCAUGCAGAUUGCUUAUACACAUAUAUAUAUAUAUAUAUAUAUAUAUAUAUAUAUAUAUAUAUACAGUACAUGGACAUGGACUACUUUCAAAUACAAAGAAAGAAGGAGCAGGCUUUUGAGUUGGAACAUGAGAUAUUACAGCUCUCAUGUUGUCAGGAAGCAACAGUUUGAUGUGAUGAUUGCUGCUGUCGCACCGAGGCUGAGUGCAGGCCGGCCGCUCUGCUGACUGCUGCAACGCAUAUCUGAAAGCUCAAGUGGCUUCAAAUGAGAACAUUUUAGGAAUAUUUUGCCUUUUUUUCGCCACGCCAGCUCCUCUGCUGGAGGGACGUUCGUGUCCCUUUUGGUCCACGCAGACGUUUUUUGACCACUGCUUGAUGGAUUGAUAUUUAGUGCAGACAUUCAUGGUACCCAGAGGAUGAAUCCCGCUGGCAUUAAGCAUCCCAGACUUCUUCCUCUACGACAACCACUAGGUCAGAAAAAUGGGCUUUAGUGUAACAUCUUAGAUGUAUUUCCUCUUCUGCCACCAGGAGGGUCAACUGUUUUCACUGUUUUGUUGUGAAUUUUUUACUUACAAUAUAUCUGCGUGGCAUGUGGUAGCAUGCAGGUGGUAGCAUGCAGGUGGUGGCAUGCAGGUGGUGGCAUGCAGGUGGUGGAAUGCAGGUGGUAGCAUGCAGGUGGUAGCAUGCAUGUGCUAGCAUUUAGCACGAAGCAUCAGGUGUCCAGUGCAGGCUGGCGUCUCUGUGGGUGGUCUGGAUCCACAUCGUACAUAGUGGUUUGUUGCUGGUUGUAAACACCAUAACAUCUGUUUAGGGUGAAGAUGGACGGGAGACCGGAUUUCUUUUCUGUAGAAACAUGUAUGUGAAAAUUCUAAUUGAAAAUCUUCAUUUCUGUCAGAUUUUAAUCAACUGAAAGAAAUGGGAGGAAAAAAAACACCUUCAGGGUGCUGAAUUUGAAACAUGGAUUAUAUGAUUUUAUGAGCAUCAGGUGUCUACAGAGGUCAUAUAUGUAUAGAAAUAGGCUUUGGUUGUUGAUACGCACCAGUUUAUUUGGGAUUAUCAUGCUACUGUUGAAAAAGCACGGACAAUUAAUACGCCCGUAAAAAAAAAGGGACGAGUGAUUCACUUUUUUAAAUUCUCGCUGCAGCACACUGGAAGGGAUUAGUGCACUGUGAGCCUUAUUUUAAGGGUGUGAUUACAUUUUCAAGGGCGAAAAUCACAUUAUGAGAAGUGAGUCGGGGAAAAGCCUCGUCCCCCGCGUGCCCGGCGCCGGGGCGACACCACUGUGGAUGUUUCUGAGGCCCUCGGCUAUGCAGAGAUUUGAGGUAUUUGUCAGGGAAGGUUUAUCGGCGGUGAAACACCUGGCCGAUCACACACCUCCCCGCCCGCUGCAUUCAGGCAUUUUUAUUUGUUAUCUCUUCCUGAGAUCCUGCGGUGAAAAAGCCUCCGUUAUGUAAAACCCAACAGCCCGGACAUUUCCGUGGCCACACACCAUCCAUCGGCGUGUCCUCGCACCCGUCCAUCCAAACCAAUUCAUCCAUAUUAGGUCCUCUCGCUCCUCUGAUCUGAUGCCCGGAAAUAAUCAGCCAGCCCUCAAAGGAAGAGCAGGCUCUUUUAUCUCAAUCAGCCAUUCUCCACUUCACUAUCGCCCAUCUCUGGACUUCCUGCGCAAAAUUUCAUCCCAUUUAUUUUCGCCCACCUGCCGACCCGCGCUCCAAUCCGCCGGAUCCCUUUGAUGAGGCGAGAAACCUGUAUUUCCAAAACAAUAUGUAAUUUCCUGGUUAGUCGAGGCGGAAUGUGCUGUGCAGCAGCCCGCUGACUGUUUAUGCAUUUUGGUCAGUGACCGCACGGCUCAGGACGGGGUGACAAACAAACCACGCGUGAAAUCAGCUGCUGCCUGGGUUUUUUUGGGGGGAGUCUUCUUCGCUAAGAUGUUUUAUUUGGUGGGUUUGAGGUCAAGUAUCUGAUUGCUGGGCGUAAGAGUAUCUGAAUAAAUCAUUGCAUUCUUUUCCUCCGCUAUCCCUGCGAUCACACCGAUUGUGUUUCAUGGUAAUGCAAAACUACCAUUACUGCCUUUUGGUGAUGUCGGAAAUAUCAUCACUUCAUCAUUGCGUCUUGGGGGGAGAUUUUUGUGACAUUCUCAUAGCCGAUGAAUUCUCACCCAAAAAGCUUCAACCGGCAGAAUCAGGUCCUUCUCGAGUCGUUUACGCCCAAUUAAGAAAUGGCCGACGUGUGUUGUUGACUAGUUUGUCCAGUUUGUCCAAACACAUCCUGGACCAAACAACACGCAAGGAUAAGUUGUGGUAGGACAGGGUUUGGUUGGGGGGGUGGUGGGGUGGCUGUUGGCUAAGGAGAGUGGUCGAUACUCUACAAACCGUAUUUAGUUGUCUGAUUCCCAGGCUGGGAGACACGGGGACAUCGUACCUCUGAGAGUUUCGGGCAGAUAAUUGGGACCUUUUCCCAGGUGAUUACCAUUCAGGGGGAGUCAGGAUCAAAGCGGGGGCGCCCUGCCAGCCGAGGAGAGGGCGCACGUCUGCCUUCCUUUCAGAGACAACGCUCCGCCGGACGGCCCACGGUCACAAAGAUUGCACGAGGAUUCGUGAUAUGAGGCCAAUUUCAGUCCUGCAGCAGGAUGGAUUUAUCGACCGGCUGAGGGGUAGGAACUCAUCACCAUGUGGUCACGGCGAUCACUACAACGCACAACAGACAGGUGACACAACUGAGUCUUUGAGACUAUGAAGAAGUAGUUCCUCAAAGUCUCUCUGGCUUGUAAAAAGCAGAUUUUGAAAGUCGGUUUUCCUUAAAGAAAUGAGUGAACAUCUGUGCAGGUUCAUCACGUCCCUGGAGAUGAAGAUAAAGUCGUUGUUGAUGUGCAGGCGAUGACGCAUAUGUUGCAGUGAGUCUUGUCAUUUAUAGAACCGUGUUGUUCUCUGAUGUUCUCUGUAGGUGUGAGGAAGUGUCUCGUUCUUAUCACUCUACAUACGGCCGCGUCUGACUCCUUUAACACUAAUGUGAAAAGUGCUGUUAGAGACAAAUUAUUACAUCAUUGAGUUUAUUGAGAUUCUGACUGCAAAUGAUAUUUACUUUAUAUCAUCUGGCAAAUAAGACUUCAUUUUGCAUUUUUUUUAUGCCGGCACAAAUGAAUGAGUUGAAGUUGUCCCCAGGAUGUUCAUAGAUAUCUCCCAGAAUUCAUUAAUUAAUCCCAACUUCCCUUUUGUAGCCGGCGCUCGCAGCAACGUCACUUAUGGAAAUAACAGCGAAACGGUUUUCCAACCCAGAGCCGUUCUGCCCUUUUCAACUUGUCAAAUCAUAUUUUAUAUCCUCUUCAGAAACGUUGAAAGUAAAUCCGCAAUAUCACCUUCCUGGCCUCAUCAUGAAAUGUGGCGAGCGCCCUCCAUGCGGUGGAGGUUCUCUCCAUGCGGUGGAGGUUCUCUCCAUGGGGUGGAGGUUCUCUCUAUGGGGUGGAGGUUCUCUCUAUGCGGUGGAGGUUCUCUCUAUGGGGUGGAGGUUCUCUCCAUGGGGUGGAGGUUCUCUCCAUGGGGUGGAGGUUCUCUCUAUGGGGUGGAGGUUCUCUCCCUGCGGUGGAGGUUCUCACUACAGUGUUGUUAUAUACCCAGUGGACCGGGACAUAUUCUUGUGCGUAUAUCGAACUAAAAGCACGUUUUGUGAGCAUCAUACAUGUGGGACUUUACAGGACUUUACAAUCAAACUGAGAUCAGAGUGAAAUCCCUCCACAAAUGAGUGAUUUUGAGGGACGGAAACAGGGACGUGCUGUCGAGACGCUGCAGCACGAGACGCUUUUGUCUGCUUGAUGUGACUUAUUCAAGUACACAUUGUUCCCUGGAAAGAGACACCGCCGCCCAAAUUACCGAUUACACUUCUGGUGAUUUACGGAUUCCGUAGAACUCGACCGACCUUUCAGAGCGGCACGGGAGCAACAACACCACGUGGUGUCACCGGCUUCCAGGGAUCCGUCCUGCCCGCCCAGUGCUCCAUGGUGUUAUAUCCAUCUAUUUAUGGCGAUGGAGUUGAAUGGAUGUUUCCACAGCAACACAGAAUCGUUUUGGAGAGCGGAUUAGGAUCUAGUCUCAGUUCACAUCUCAGGAAGUAAAAAAGUGGGAUCGGAGUAGUUUUGGUGGGGAAAUGAGGAGGAAUCCAGCCUGACUGAGAUAGUGAGUAAAUAAGCGAGUUGGUCCGCUGGUGACUGAAGUGGAAGGAUUACCCAGCGGCAGAGAUGAGUAGAGCGCCCUGAUGAAUGAAUGAAUGAAUGAAUGAAUGACCCCCGGUCCUGGACGUCCGGCUGGGAGACGAACGAAGAGCCAGAGCUGGAAUCAAUAACGUGACUGAUGUUCUCGCCCAUUGAACCUCAGCAGUCCCACUCGCAGAGUUGUGCUCGCUCGGCCUCACAGAUUCAGGCUUUCAUUGAGAGUUGAACCUCCUCCUCACAGCCACGUUUGGAUGGAGGGUUUGUGUGCUCUGCCGUUAUAUAAGCUUGACCCUCUCACAAGAAUAAAUAUAUAAUAUGAAUUUCAUAAAUAAUAAAAUAUCACCCUCGUUCUUCAGUUCUGGCAUGUUGGAAUCAGCAUCAUCUAACCCUAAAGUAUUAAUGGAGACUGGCUGCAUGCAGAGUUGUCCGGUACGUCCCUCUGCACCGAGCCGACACCAGCUUCAGCGAUCCGUCUGUGUGAAAUAUGAAGCUCCCUUUAAUCUUUAAUGCAUGUAUUCAUCCGUGCAUAUGUGUGUCGCAUGUGUCCGGGCGGCUUGUGUGCAUCUGCAGAGCAUCGUCUCCGCUCCGCACCAAAUAUCAUCACUUCAAGCUAGGAAUACUAAACGGUGAUCAUGUGCGGAGGAGCAUUUGAAUUGCAAAGAGGAAGGAAUUAUAAAUUAGAAGUGACAGUGACACUGACUGCGGACGGCUUUAAUGCUGAAACAUUUGGAUUUGUAAUUACGUCCCUCUUUGCAAUUCAAAUCGUGUCCGCCUGCGCAGUCUGUGGCUUUCUGCGACCUUUUGAGCGCCGAGACCCAUUAAAGUCUGUUCCUGGACUCCACGCUCGGGCUGUUUGCACCGCUGUGAGUCCAGAGGAGUGAAGUCUGAUACUCUUCAGCACAUUGAAGCCUGGCUCGCAAGCAGCUUAUUGAUUAUACACCUCGUAGCAACAAAUUGAAGCCAACCUAGCACGGCCUGCUAGCACUGAUCCCUCUCACCGGAACCUGCACCCGACGGGGACCUGGACCGCUGGAGGUCAUGUGCCUCUGUAUGUUGAAUGUGUUGAAAGCUCUCAGGUCGAAAAAUACAAAUGCCGCUAUAGAGAGAAGACAGUUUCUGCCCCUUAACUAAAAGAUAAAUGAUGGCAAAUCCAUUUUUUCCCCAUUAGGAAUUAGGAGGAGGCCUGCGUGGCACACUUGUUAGCUGUAGCGUCUUGUGGAGCUAGUGCUGCUAACCACUUUGGCAGUUGGGGCAAAGUUGACUUUUAACACCCAGCUGACUUUCUGGUUUCUUGUAUCUGACCGACUCGACAUUCAACAAUGGAUCACAUGACGACAUUUAAUUUCAAAAGGGUCGUCAGAAGGGGCAUGAAUGAGCCCGCAGAGCCUCUUUGGGCUGCACAUUGGCUCGGUGGCAGUCGGCUGUCGUAGCAAAAAGCUGCUAAAAAGGAUUCAAUGCUAGCUGCCCACCUCGCAUCUAGCUGUGAGGAAAUACAAUACCUACAAUUAAAAGUACUUUCUCAGGCGAGACCAAACCACAGCUAAAGGAGAAUAUAAUGCAGAUGAUGCUCCAUACCGAUAUGGAUACUAUAUUUUAUUUGUAUUUGCUCCACAACUGAAAACACUGAUACAUUUAGAACUACGACUUUGUGAUCGGCUCACCUCCAAUGUGAGUUAAGAUUUAAUGAAGCAGUUGUUUAUUUUGUGCAAAUGUCCUCGCCGAGCCGACUCCGUCCUGAAGAAACUAAACAGACGGAGGAUUUCUGAAAGAUAAAUGGUUUACCGGCUUUAAGACAGAAACUGAGGAUAACGCAUGAGUGCGCAUGAUGCCAUUUAUCAUUGUUUACAAGACACGUCCUCCCCCCAAAUCAAGAUCUGAUAAGUCGGUCCUGACCUGCAGGACGCUUUAUCACAGCCAGUCGAGCUGGCUGAUGUUUAUGAUGAUGCAUGCCUGUAGGCAUAACUUAUCCCUCAUCAUUACACUGGCCCAACAAGCCAUCACUUAUGAGGUAUCACCCUGCUGAAGCUGUGAGCAGAGGCCGGUUAGGUGCUGGUGAAAAGAUCUGCAUGGAGCGGUCAAUGGACACAACGUUCUCCCGCAACACUUCGGAUAGUUGUUCAAUCGUGGUGAAAUGCCGAUGCGGCAUCUUUGAGCUGUUAGGAGUCACUCUGGGAAGGUGUGAUGUAACAUGUAUGCCCCAAUAUCAUUAAAAGGUACUCGAGUAUCCAAAAAUAAGACCUUUUUCUGACGGUUUUACAUGAAUCAUCGCAUAAAAGUACUUAAGUUUCGCUUUGUUAACAUUACAUUUCAGCACUUUCACCUUUGCUUUUCUCCUUCACACAGAAAAAUACCUGAACCACAUUUCUCCUCCCGCGACGAUUUCCCGUCCUCGUUCACUGAUUAGUUGUCACAAACACACGUUCCAUCAGCACGCCGCUUGUGUCUCCCUCAUCACGAUGGAGAGAGGAGCAGCCAGCCCUCUUCUGCCUGAUGAGUCGUG
ensembl:lncRNA